rnacentral:rRNA from 1 species
CCCUUAGAUGUCCUGGGCUGCACGCGCGCUACACUGAUAUGUGCAUCGAGCAGAUGUUCUUGGCUUACGCCGGAAUACACCUUCUCCGAGAGGAGCGGGCAAUCUUUUCAAAGCAUAUCGUGAUGGGGAUAGAUUAUUGUAAUUAUUAAUCUUCAACGAGGAAUUCCUAGUAAACGCAAGUCAUUAACUUGCAUUGAUUACGUCCCUGCCCUUUGUACACACCGCCCGUCGCUACUACCGACUGGAUGGCUUAGUGAGCUCCAUGGACCGCCGUCGUUCAGUGCUUGCGCUGUCGAUUGUUUGCGGGAAGUGGAUCGAACUUGAUCAUCUGGAGGAAGUAAAAGUCGUANCA